rnacentral:rRNA from 1 species
UACAGAGGGUGCAAGCGUUGUCCGGAAUCACUGGGCGUAAAGGGCGCGUAGGCGGCGCGGGCAGUCAACGGUGAAAGCUUGGGGCUCAACCCCGAGUCGGCCGUCGAUACUGCCGUGCUUGAGGACUGGAGAGGAGACUGGAAUUUACGGUGUAGCGGUGAAAUGCGUAGAUAUCGUAAGGAAGACCAGUGGCGAAGGCGGGUCUCUGGACAGUUCCUGACGCUGAGGCACGAAGGCCAGGGGAGCAAACGGG